rnacentral:rRNA from 1 species
CCUACGGGAGGCAGCAGUGGGGAAUAUUGCACAAUGGGGGGAACCCUGAUGCAGCGACGCCGCGUGGGGGAUGGAGCGUUUCGGCUUGUAAACCCCUAUCGGCAGUGAAGAAGAUGACGGUAUCUGACCAAUAAGCCCCGGCUAACUCCGUGCCAGCAGCCGCGGUAAUACGAAGGGGGCAAGCGUUACUCGGAAUUACUGGGUGUAAAGGGCGCGUAGGCGGUAAUGCAAGUCAGAUGUGAAAUCCUAGGGCUUAACCACGGGACUGCAUUUGGAACUGUAAGGCUGGAGUACAGGAGAGGUAGGUGGAAUGCGUGGUGUAGCGGUGAAAUGCGUAGAUAUCAGGAGGAACACCGGUUGCGAAGGCGGCCUGCUGGACCGUGACUGACGCUGAGGCGCGAAAGCGUGGGGAGCAAACAGGAUUAGAUACCCUGGUAGUC